rnacentral:rRNA from 1 species
CCUACGGGAGGCAGCAGUGAGGAAUAUUGGUCAAUGGGCGAGAGUCUGAACCAGCCAAGCCGCGUGAAGGAUGAAGGAUCUAUGGUUUGUAAACUUCUUUUAUAUGGGAGUAAAGUGAGGAACGUGUUUCUUUUUGUAUGUACCAUAUGAAUAAGCAUCGGCUAACUCCGUGCCAGCAGCCGCGGUAAUACGGAGGAUGCGAGCGUUAUCCGGAUUUAUUGGGUUUAAAGGGUGCGUAGGUGGUUAAUUAAGUCAGCGGUGAAAGUUUGUGGCUCAACCAUAAAAUUGCCGUUGAAACUGGUCGACUUGAGUAUAUUUGAGGUAGGCGGAAUGCGUGGUGUAGCGGUGAAAUGCAUAGAUAUCACGCAGAACACCGAUUGCGAAGGCAGCUUACUAAACUAUAACUGACGCUGAAGCACGAAAGCGUGGGGAGCAAACAGGAUUAGAUACCCGGGUAGUC